GAGGGUAUAGCUCAGUGGUAGAGUGUGUGCUUAGCACGCACAAGGUCCUAGGUUCAAUCCCCAGUACUUCCA
rnacentral:tRNA from 1 species